GUCGAACGCUGGCGGCGUGCUUAACACAUGCCAGUCGAACGGAAAGGCCCUGCUUUUGUGGGGUGCUCGAGUGGCGAACGGGUGAGUAACACGUGAGUAACCUGCCCUUGACUUUGGGAUAACUUCAGGAAACUGGGGCUAAUACCGGAUAGGAGCUCCUGCUGCAUGGUGGGGGUUGGAAAGUUUCGGCGGUUGGGGAUGGACUCGCGGCUUAUCAGCUUGUUGGUGGGGUAGUGGCUUACCAAGGCUUUGACGGGUAGCCGGCCUGAGAGGGUGACCGGCCACAUUGGGACUGCGAUACGGCCCAGACUCCUACGGGAGGCAGCAGUGGGGAAUAUUGCACAAUGGGCGGAAGCCUGAUGCAGCAACGCCGCGUGCGGGAUGACGGCCUUCGGGUUGUAAACCGCUUUCGCCUGUGACGAAGCGUGAGUGACGGUAAUGGGUAAAGAAGCACCGGCUAACUACGUG
rnacentral:rRNA from 1 species